AGGUGGAAGGGAGAGUCAGAGAUUCAAAGCAUGAGGAAUUCGGGCCACACGAGGAGUCUAGGCAGCCUGUAGGAACAGAGAGAAGCUCCCAGUGCCCAGCCAGCCAGGAAACAGGACCUCAGAGCCAUAGCCACAGGGAACUGGAUUCUGCCAGCAAAAGAGGUAGGUUCUUCCCGAGAUCCUCCAGGCAAGAUCCCAGCCCAGUGGACACCUUGAUUUCGGCCUUGUGGGACCCUGAGCAGAAAACCCAGGCAAGUCCAGACUUCUGACCUACAGAGCUCUGAGAUAAUGAAUACUCAGCUCUGCUGUUGUGGUACAGAAGCAUGAUGAAUAUAUAAACAACCCUCACGCUAGAAAACUCGCAGAAAAAGGAGCAAGCGGACCGGCUUUUUUCAACUCCCCGCGGAAGUACUCUCACCGGAACUCCUCCGUGUUUGCGCUUUCCCAUUGGCGGAAGCUUCUGCCAGCUUCCAGUAGCUUCCGCCCACGACUCGGUUGGGCGGAGCUUUCCCUGGAAGUCACUUCCGCUAACCCCGCCCCUCGUUCCC
ensembl:lncRNA